rnacentral:rRNA from 1 species
AUGCACAGGAGCAAGGGGAAGCUGUCGGGCGUCCUCAGCAAGGGCUUCAAGCCCGACAAGUGGUCAGUCCAGAUCGUCUCUGCUCGCCGGUUCCUGCUUCUUCCUUCUCCGCUGGUUUCUGCGGGGUGCGAGAUUGAACGCUUGCUUUUGCUUUUGUUUUUGUUUUUCUGGCGUCUCAGCAAGAUUGCCCUCAAGAUGGCCAUGGCGCGGAUCAAGCUGCUGCGGAACAAGAAGGAGGUGCAGGUGCGCCAGAUGCGCCGCGAGGUCGCGCAGCUGCUCGACGGCAACCAGGACCAGACCGCGCGCAUCAGGGUUGAACAUGUCAUAAGGGAAGAGAAGUUCAUGCAAGCAUAUGACUUGAUUGAAGUGUACUGCGAACUUAUAGUGGCACGCAUGUCCAUUAUUGAUUCACAGAAGACUUGCCCUAUUGAUCUGAAGGAGGCAAUAGCGAGUGUUAUAUUUGCAUCAAUGAGAUGUUCAGAUGUCACAGAACUAGCAGAUGUUCGGAAGAAUUUCACAAGCAAGUAUGGGAAAGAAUUUGCCACAUCAGCUCUUGAAGUGCGACCUGACAGUGGCGUAAACCAUCUGGUAAUCGAGAAGCUCUCAGCAGGAGCACCGGAUGUACAGACUAAAACCAAAACCUUGAGCUCAAUUGCGGCAGAGCAUAACAUAAAAUGGGAGCCAAAAGCAUUUGAGGAGCAGAAGCAAAAUGAAGAUCGGAUGUAUGGAUCAACAUAUUCUGGAGGAAACAUUCCAACUUCAGGGUCAUCUGCUUCUAGCGUGCCAACUCCUCAACCUGCAGCAGCUCCCUAUUCAUCUGUUCAACCAGCCACUUCUCGUGUGCCUGCAGGACCUUCUUAUGAAUCUUCUGAAGCUCCAGCUAAUAGAAACCCACAUGGCACUGCCAACUCUAAUGCUUCCACACAGGAAAAUAGAAGGGGUUCGGAUGCUUCAGUGCCUCCUAGCUUCCAACAUGGUGCAACUACUUAUUCCUCAGCAAAUAUUCCUGGAUCUAACAACUACUCUAAUACUGGGAGUUCAAGUGUUUCUAGACCUCACUCCCAAUUUGGCUCAACAGUUCCAGACUCAGUAUCCAGGACUGAAGAGAUCAACCGGCCUAGGGAAAGGAAGUCUUCAGUUAGUGGUUCCAAUUGGAAUGUGGAAUUCAAGGAUGCAGCAUCUGCAGCCCAGGCAGCAGCAGAUUCUGCAGAGAUGGCAAGCAUUGCUGCCCGAGCUGCUGCCCAACUUGCUAGCCGUGGAAACUUCUAUGCAGACCAAGAUACUGGUGCUUAUGAAUCAACUGCUUAUAUGAAUGACAAUACACCCAGGAAGCAACAAGCUGGACGUUUGAUGAAGGAUGGUAAGAGUUUUAAUGAGCAGAGUUCAGGUAUUAAUGAUCCAAGGAUGAUCUCAAGUAAUGCAAGAAAAGAUGAAGAAAGAGCAGAAACAAACCGUGCGAGUAGCCAGAAUAUGUCAACUCCUUACUCCUCUCAGCUCCACUCGUAUGCUCCUGAAAGCCAUACUGAUCAUGACAUGCCAACUGAACCACAUCAUGCUCAUUCAUCUGAGCCUCCAUAUUUUAAUGAUUCGUCUGAGCCUCCAUAUUUUGAUGAUUCAUCCGAGAAAGAAAGCAAUAUCAGAAGACCUGAGGAUCACCCGUUUGAUUUGCAUGAGGAAAGGUUGCCAGAUGCUGGAUUUGAUUGGCACCACACCAAGGAUAUAGGAAGCAGGCAAACUAGCUUUGAUCAAGAGAGCAGGAAUAACCACUAUAGUAAUUUUAGUGCUUCCCACGGUGGCAGCAGUACGUCUUGGGACAACCAGAAUGAUAAAGCUGGAGCUGAUUCUUCAGCUGUUUUAUUCGAUGAAUAUGACCAUGAUGUUCAAGAAGAGAACUUGUUGGAUCAUUUCUCUUCAAAACAUACUGAAGAGCUGCCAACUGUGCAGGACCACAAGGGAUUCUCAAGUGCAGAUUGGAGUCAGCAGCCUAGAAGUGAAUCUCCGGUUGAUCGUAGCACUUCAACUCUCUUUUCAAGAACAGAAACGCAGCCAUCUUAUGAUUUAGGAGCAAACAAAGAGGAUAUUCUCCUGAAUGAUACUAGCCCACCUACUUUUGAUUCAGAUGGUGUUAGUUCUGACGAGGAAACAAGUACAAACAUGCAUAUCUUAAGGACCCAUUCAAGAGGAUCUGAUUACUCGGAGAACAAAAUGUUCAAUAAGAAUUCUGGAAAGUCUUUUCCUGAUGUUAUUGAAGAUCAUGAAUCUAGGCCCAGCAAGCAAUACCAGAAUCCACCAGGUUCUGAUGUAUUCCGCAAGGAGCAAAACAGUGAUGGUUCACCUAGAUAUGACUAUUCGGGGGCACAGGGGAACUUGGGUCGUCUGCAAAGCAGAGAUUAUGAUCUUUCAGAAGAAGAAACAGAACCACAUAAAUUGAAAGGUACAUCCUCAGGGAUAACAGGAGCAAAUGAGAAUCGGCCCUCGCCCUUCCGCAUGCCAACUUCAGCAACAUCUGAUGACAGCGAUGACGGUGAUCUUGGCCUGAAUUAUGGAAGGUUAACUCCUGGACUAAGAAACAAACUCAGGCAAGGUCCACAAUACAAAAUUUCUGGGGAUAACUUGGUGCGAAAACAGUCCUUAGAAGGAGCUCCUGCCAGCAUUGAAGAAUCAGUGCAUUUCAAAGAGAAUGACCCAUCAUCUGAACAGAUGGGUGAUACUCCUAAAGGUUCACGCACAACCAAGAAUUCUUUUGGUGCAAAUUACCACAGUGAACAUCUCGAUGGGAGACAUACUGUUGGCAAACCUGUGGAAUCAAGAUCAUCCAUGACGAGGAAUGACUUCUAUUCAGGUGAUACAGGGAAGUUAUCUGAACGAUCUGGCAGUCCAAUUUCUAGCCCAGCCAAGACUUCUGUUAGGGAAAAUUCCAUUCAAGAGAGUGGGGUGCGCAGGGAAAGUAGAUCAAGAACUGCCAGAACUUUCUUUGAUUCAGAUGAGAGCGAAGAAGAAUUGGAACGACGCCGGUCUGUCCAGACAAAGUUGUCUAAAGAGCAGAUACAAUCACGGAGGACCCGGGAGGUAGCACCCGAUGCAAAGAGAGAUGGCCGAGCCCGGGCUGGAGCGCAGUAUGCUGUUGAAACUGAAAGCACGCCAAAAAGCCCUGCUAAAGCAUUCUCCAACUCGAGUACUGAACAAAGAAAAGCAGCACCUGCAUACUCCAGGGUUUCAGUACAGCAAUCUUCGCCAAAUCCUGCGCGCAUUGAACCUCCCGCAGCUAGAGGCAGGUGGCAAGAAGAUGAACCGGAUGGAAGUUCUUCUCCAGAAAACGAGGGAAACGCAGAGACCUCAGCAGAGACCCUGAAAGUAAGCACGCCAACAGCUGGUCCUGCUCACGUUCACCCCAAGCUUCCAACAGACUAUGAUUCUUUUGCUGCACAUUUUAAGUCGCUCCGAACCAAUCGCCGGUAG